GACGAACGUUGGCGGCGUGCUUAAUACAUGCAAGUCCACUGAAGCAGUGGUAGCAAUAUCGCUGUGGAGGUGGCGCACGGGUGAGUAACACGUAGGUAAUCUGCCUUCAGGUCUGGCAUAGCUCCGGGAAACCGGGGCUAAUAGCAGAUGAUGCAGCGGCUCGACAUCGAGACAGUUGUUAAAGCUAUGGCGCCUGAAGAUGAGCCUGCGUCUGAUUAGCUAGUUGGCGGGGUAACGGCCCACCAAGGCAACGAUCAGUAGCUGGUCUGAGAGGAUGAUCAGCCACACUGGAACUGAGACACGGUCCAGACUCCUACGGGAGGCAGCAGUAAGGAAUAUUGCUCAAUGGGAGAAAUCCUGAAGCAGCAACGCCGCGUGAGGGACGAAGGGCUUUUGCUUGUAAACCUCUGUAGUGAGAGAAAAAAAUCCCAAUCUUUGGGACAUGAUGGUAUCUCAAAAGUAAGCCCCGGCUAACUACGUG
rnacentral:rRNA from 1 species